rnacentral:snRNA from 1 species
AUACCUUUCUCGGCUUUUUGGCUAAGAUCAAGUGUAGUAUCUGUUCUUAUCAGUUUAAAUACGUGGGCCAUUGGUCUACGUAAUAUUAAAUUUAUUUUUCGAGGGGUAAAGCUCACCACGGUAGCUUGCUACUGGGGCUUUCACGCGUUACCCAAGUGUUGCACUGUAGCUUUGGGCUGGCGCACCCCAA